AAGGAGGAGGAGCUGCGGAAGGAGGAGGAGCGGAAGAAGGCUUUGGACGCCAGGCUCAGGUUUGAGCAGGAGCGGAUGGAGCAGGAGCGGCAGGAGCAGGAGGAACGGGAACGGCGCUACCGAGAGCGGGAGCAGCAGAUCGAGGAGCACAGGAGGAAACAGCAGAGUCUGGAAGCUGAAGAGGCCAAGAGGAGGUUAAAGGAUCAGUCUAUCUUUGGUGAUCAGCGAGAUGAAGAGGAAGAGUCCCAGAUGAAGAAGUCGGAAUCUGAGGUGGAGGAGGCAGCUGCCAUCAUUGCCCAGCGGCCUGAUAACCCACGGGAGUUCUUCAGACAGCAGGAACGAGUGGCUUCAGCCUCUGGUGGCAGCUGUGACGCACCCUCGCCCUUCAACCACCGACCAGGCAGUCACCUGGACAGCCACCGGAGGAUGGCGCCCACUCCCAUUCCCACCCGGAGCCCAUCUGAUUCCAGCACAGCCUCCACCCCCAUCACGGAGCAGAUCGAGAGGGCCCUGGAUGAGGUCACAUCCUCGCAGCCUCCACCCCCACCUCCACCACCCCCACCAGCUCAAGGUAAGAGAAGGGCUCCACCGGUUCCCAUUCUUCCAUCAGUCUCUGGGCGGGGGGAGGGGAGACCCUGGGUUGCCACGGUAACGUAGUUCAAAGGACCCGGACCACUCCAUCACCAACACUACACUGGUAAGGAUGUGGCUGUAGCUGAGGACAGCCCCGGUGUUGCUGUCAGACUUCUCUAAACCUCAUUGGCUCAUCACUGAGGAAUGUGGCCUUCCUCCCAGGGGUUUAAAAAGAGUGGGUGAAAGGACCGGGAGGUAUGACUGAUGCUGAAAGAUGCCUCUGUGGUAGGUCCUGCCCAGAAGUCCCAAACUCCUCUCUUUUCAGUGGGUGGGCAGGGCAUGGUACACUGGCCCAGGGCAUCUGUCCUUCCUCAAGGGGACUGACUGCAUUGUGUCCUUCGUGUGCGACAGAGGCCCAGGAGUCUGCUCCCAGACUGGACGGUGAAGAGGUCUGCAAGGAGGCCAAAGUAGCAGCAGCUCCUCAGGUCUGGGCUGGCUGUGCAGAGGAGCCUCCUCGGGCACAGGAACCUCCCCUGUUGCAAAGCAGCCCCACGGAGGACUUGAUGUGCACAGAAUCUCCUGAGCAGGCUGUCCUGGCGGCCUCUCCAGAGCCUGAUGCCUCUGUCACCUCAGUAGCUGAUGCUCAUGCAGCUGACACCAUCGAGACCACCACUGCCACUACUGCCACCACUAUUGCCGACAACGUCACCCCUGCCGCCGCCAGCCUCAUUGAUCUGUGGCCUGGUAACGGGGAAGAGGCCUCAACGCCUCAGGCUGAACCCAGGGUGCCCACCCCACCCUCAGGUGCU
rnacentral:lncRNA from 1 species